AAUAUAUUGUCUUCUCAAUAGAGCUAAAUUAGAGAAAAUAUAAUGGAAAUCACAAAAACCUUCGUAACCUUUUUUUUUGUAGUGACAUUAGCAAUUUCGUUGUCCAAUCAAAAUGUUUGGGCCGUAUCAAUGAUCAAGCCAGCAAACUCUGGUCCUUGCAUUGCUACAUGUGUGCCAGGAAAGUAUGAAGUUUCUCAAUGCAGUCAUGACUGUUUGACGAGUGGGUACAAAAGUGGACACUGUCACAUAUAUGCUAGAUGUUGUUGCACACAUUGAUAGAAAUCGACCAUUCUUCUAUUUUCCAAAAAUAUGAAUUCAGCGAAAUAAAACCUACACUAUUUUA